rnacentral:rRNA from 1 species
GAUGAACGCUGGCGGCGUGCCUAAUACAUGCAAGUCGAGCGAAUGGAUUAAGAGCUUGCUCUUAUGAAGUUAGCGGCGGACGGGUGAGUAACACGUGGGUAACCUGCCCAUAAGACUGGGAUAACUCCGGGAAACCGGGGCUAAUACCGGAUAACAUUUUGAACCGCAUGGUUCGAAAUUGAAAGGCGGCUUCGGCUGUCACUUAUGGAUGGACCCGCGUCGCAUUAGCUAGUUGGUGAGGUAACGGCUCACCAAGGCAACGAUGCGUAGCCGACAUGGGAGGGGGAUCGGCCACACGGGGACUGCGACACGGCCCAGACUCCGACGGGAGGCAGCAGUAGGGAAUCUUCCGCAAUGGACGAAAGUCUGACGGAGCAACGCCGCGUGAGUGAUGAAGGCUUUCGGGUCGUAAAACUCUGUUGUUAGGGAAGAACAAGUGCUAGUUGAAUAAGCUGGCACCUUGACGGUACCUAACCAGAAAGCCACGGCUAACUACGUGCCAGCAGCCGCGGUAA